rnacentral:rRNA from 1 species
UACGAAGGGGGCUAGCGUUGCUCGGAAUUACUGGGCGUAAAGCGCACGUAGGCGGCUUUCUAAGUCAGGGGUGAAAUCCCGGGGCUCAACCCCGGAACUGCCCUUGAAACUGGAGAGCUAGAAUCUUGGAGAGGCGAGUGGAAUUCCGAGUGUAGAGGUGAAAUUCGUAGAUAUUCGGAAGAACACCAGUGGCGAAGGCGACUCGCUGGACAAGUAUUGACGCUGAGGUGCGAAAGCGUGGGGAGCAAAACAGG